CCUACGGGAGGCAGCAGUAGGGAAUCUUGCACAAUGGGCGAAAGCCUGAAGGAGCAAAGCAGCGUGGGUGAAGAAGGUCUUCGGAUCGUAAAACUCUGUUGUUAGAGAAGAAAGUGCGUGAGAGUAACUGUUCACGUUUCGACGGUAUCUAACCGGAAAGCCACGGCUAACUACGUGCCAGCAGGCGCGGCAAAACGUAGGUGGCAAGCGUUAUCCGGAUUUAUUGGGCGUAAAGGGAACGCAGGCGGUCUUUUAAGUCUGAUGUGAAAGCCCUCGGCUUAACCGGAGUAGUGCAUUGGAAACUGGGAGACUUGAGUGCAGAAGAGGAGAGUGGAACUCCAUGUGUAGCGGUGAAAUGCGUAGAUAUAUGGAAGAACACCAGUGGCGAAGGCGGCUCUCCGGUCUGUAACUGACGCUGAGGUUCGAAAGCGUGGGUAGCAAACAGGAUUAGAUACCCCUGUAGUC
rnacentral:rRNA from 1 species